GACGAACGCUGGCGGCGUGCCUAAUACAUGCAAGUCGAGCGGACUUUCAAGAAGCUUGCUUUUUGAAAGUUAGCGGCGGACGGGUGAGUAACACGUGGGCAACCUGCCUGCAAGACGGGGAUAACUCCGGGAAACCGGGGCUAAUACCGGAUAAUAUCUUCCUUCGCAUGAAGGAAGGUUGAAAGGCGGCGCAAGCUGCCGCUUGCAGAUGGGCCCGCGGCGCAUUAGCUAGUUGGUGAGGUAACGGCUCACCAAGGCGACGAAGCGUAGCCGACCUGAGAGGGUGAUCGGCCACACUGGGACUGAGACACGGCCCAGACUCCUACGGGAGGCAGCAGUAGGGAAUCUUCCGCAAUGGACGAAAGUCUGACGGAGCAACGCCGCGUGAGCGAAGAAGGUCUUCGGAUCGUAAAGCUCUGUUGUCAGGGAAGAACAAGUACCGUUCGAACAGGGCGGUACCUUGACGGUACCUGACCAGAAAGCCACGGCUAACUACGUG
rnacentral:rRNA from 1 species